AUUCCAGCUCCAAUAGCGUAUAUUAAAGUUGUUGCAGUUAAAACGCUCGUAGUCGGAUUUCGGGGCCUGCCUGCCGGUCUGCCGAUGGGUAUGCACUGGCAGGCGCGUCCUUCCUUCCGGAGACUGUCCCUACUCUUAACUGAGCGGGGUCGGGAGACGGAUCGUUUACUUUGAAAAAAUCAGAGUGUUUCAAGCAGGCAGCUCGCUCUUGCAUGGAUUAGCAUGGGAUAAUGAAAUAGGACUGGUUCCAUUUUAUUGGUUAUUGGACUAGUAAUGAUUAAUAGGGACAGUUGGGGGCAUUAGUAUUUAAUUGUCAGAGGUGAAAUUCUUGGAUUUAUUAAAGACUAACUUAUGCGAAAGCAUUUGCCAAGGAUGUUUUCAUUG
rnacentral:rRNA from 1 species